CACCGAGAAACCUGUUCAGGAGUGGAUAGAUGAGCCUCCCAGCAGUGACAGGAAAUCCCUGGUGACGGUGACAACGAUGACAAGAAGGACAGAAACCACACCAUCAAUGAGGUGAGGAAACAGCCUCACAGAUGUUGUGCAAUUGACACCAGAGAAAACAAUUUCAAAGUUCUGUGAAACAGGAGCUCUUAUUCCCUGUACUGGAACGCUUAAAGAGAAACCCAAGUGGCAUAAGUGUGGGGCCCCACAAAACCCGAAUCUGUCCUUGCAUCCACGCUCCCUACGGCAGCAUAGCUCUGACACAUUCC